AUUGAACGCUGGCGGCAUGCUCAACACAUGCAAGUCGAACGCCCCGCAAGGGGAGUGGCAGAAGGGUGAGUAACGCGUGGGAACAUACCCAUUCCUGCGGAAUAGCUCGGGGAAAUGGGAAUUAAUACCGAAUACGCCGUACGGGGGAAAGAUUUAGCGGGAAAAGAUUGGCCCGCGUUGGAUUAGCUAGUUGGUGGGGUAAAGGCCUACCAAGGCGACGAUCCAUAGCUGGUCUGCGAGGAGGAUCAGCCACAUUGGUACUGAGACACGGCCCAAACGCCGACGGGAGGCAGCAGUGGGGAAUAUUGGACAAUGGGCGCAAGCCUGAUCCAGCCAUGCCGCGUGCGUGAUGAAGGCCUUAGGGUUGUAAAGCUCUUUCACCGGUGAAGAUAAUGACGGUAGUCGGAGAAGAAGCCCCGGCUAACUUCGUGCCAGCCGCCGCGGUAAAAC
rnacentral:rRNA from 1 species